rnacentral:lncRNA from 1 species
GAUAUUAUGGUUCAAUGGUUUACUUUAUUCAGAUACAUGUGGUUUUGUGAAUGUAAUAAAGUACUUACGGUUUUCUUAUGAGACGAAAAUAAUUUUCUACCCCUCGUGGUAGCGUGUUUUAAAAGAAAAAAUUUUCGUGUGGAAAACAAUUUUAAAAGAGUUUUCCUAGUUUUUAUGAUUCUUAGUGUUUCAAAAUAAGUUUUUGAGUGGGAAACGUUUUAAACAAAUAGAUGCGAAUUUAUGAAAAAAAUAUUGCAAUCUUGUAAUUGAAUGAAUGUGAAUUGAUUUUUGUGAUGUGGUGAUCGAAUUUAUAUGAUUGUUUAUAUACUGUGGUUGUAUCUUAUACUUGUGUGACGCUGUGCAAAUACAGGGAAGAGUCUGUCCGUGUGAACAGCGGGCUUCCUGUAUUUGUGGCUGAUCUGACAUCCCUUGGGAUCAAGGUUUUCAAAAAAAA